rnacentral:rRNA from 1 species
GACGAACGCUGGCGGCGUGCCUAAUACAUGCAAGUCGAGCGGAAGUUGGAGAGCUUGCUCUUCAACUUUAGCGGCGGACGGGUGAGUAACACGUGGGCAACCUGCCCUGCAGAUCGGGAUAACUCCGGGAAACCGGUGCUAAUACCGAAUAGUUUUCGCCACCUCCUGGUGGCGUACGGAAAGACGGUUUCGGCUGUCACUGCAGGAUGGGCCCGCGGCGCAUUAGCUGGUUGGUGGGGUAACGGCCCACCAAGGCAACGAUGCGUAGCCGACCUGAGAGGGUGAUCGGCCACACUGGGACUGAGACACGGCCCAGACUCCUACGGGAGGCAGCAGUAGGGAAUCUUCCGCAAUGGACGAAAGUCUGACGGAGCAACGCCGCGUGAGUGACGAAGGUUUUCGGAUCGUAAAACUCUGUUGUGAGGGAAGAACAAGUACCAACUAACUACUGGUACCUUGACGGUACCUCACCAGAAAGCCACAGCUAACUACGUGCCAGCCGCCGCCGUAAGAC